rnacentral:rRNA from 1 species
UACGGGGGAGCAAGCGUUGUUCGGAUUUACUGGGCGUAAAGGGCGCGUAGGCGGCGUGACAAGUCACUUGUGAAAUCUCCGGGCUUAACUCGGAACGGUCAAGUGAUACUGUCGGACUAGAGUACAGAAGGGGCAACUGGAAUUCUCGGUGUAGCGGUGAAAUGCGCAGAUAUCAGGAGGAACACCGGUGGCGAAGGCGGGUCUCUGGGCCGAUACUGACGCUGAGGAGCGAAAGCGUGGGGAGCGAACAGG